GAUGAACGCUGGCGGCGUGCCUAAUACAUGCAAGUCGAGCGGUAACACUUCGGGUGACGAGCGGCGGACGGGUGAGUAAUGCAUAGGAACAUACCCCAAAGUGAGGGAUAAGCACCAGAAAUGGUGUCUAAUACCGCAUAUUAUCUUUGGAUCAAAGCUUCGGCGCUUUGGGAGUGGCCUAUGUCUGAUUAGCUAGUUGGUAGGGUAAAGGCCUACCAAGGCGACGAUCAGUAGCUGGUUUGAGAGGAUGAUCAGCCACACUGGAACUGAGACACGGUCCAGACUCCUACGGGAGGCAGCAGUGGGGAAUUUUGGACAAUGGGCGCAAGCCUGAUCCAGCAAUGCCGCGUGCAGGAAGAAGGCCUUCGGGUUGUAAACUGCUUUUGUACGGAGCGAAAAGGCUCUCUCUAAUACAGGGGGCUCAUGACGGUACCGUAAGAAUAAGCACCGGCUAACUACGUGCCAGCCGCCGCAGUAAAAC
rnacentral:rRNA from 1 species